rnacentral:rRNA from 1 species
CUUUCAGCAACGGAUCUCUUGGUUCCGGCAUCGAUGAAGAACGCAGCGAAAUGCGAUAAGUAAUGUGAAUUGCAGAAUCCAGUGAACCAUCGAAUCUUUGAACGCACAUUGCGCCCCCCGGUACUCCGAGGGGCAUGCCCGUCCGAGCGUC